rnacentral:rRNA from 1 species
UACGUAGGGUGCAAGCGUUAAUCGGAAUUACUGGGCGUAAAGCGUGCGCAGGCAGUUUUAUAAGUCAGAUGUGAAAUCCCCGAGCUCAACUUGGGAACUGCGUUUGAAACUGUAAGACUAGAGUGUGUCAGAGGGGGGUAGAAUUCCAAGUGUAGCAGUGAAAUGCGUAGAGGUUUGGAGGAAUACCAUGGCGAAGGCAGCCCCCUGGGAUAACACUGACGCUCAUGCACGAAAGCGUGGUGAGCAAACAGG